GAUCGUAUCACUGGACUCCAGCCUGGGUGACAGAGUGUGACUACGUCAAGAAACAAAGAGAAAGAGAGAGAGAGAGAGAGAGAGAGAGGGAGACAGAGAGACAGACAGAGACAAAGAGAGAGAAACAAAAAAGAAGAGAAGAGAGAAAGAAAGAAGAAAAGGAGGGAAGGAGGUAAGGAAGGAAAAGAAAAGAAAGGAAGGAGAGAAAGAAAGGAAAGAAAGGAAAGGAAAGGAAAGGAAGUAAAGAGAAAAGAAGAGAGCGAGAGAGAGAGAAACAGAGAAAGAGGAAAAGGAAAAGGAGAUGAAUAACUGCAAAGGAUCAGGACUAAUAUUCCUGAGAGCUGUGACACAUGUUAUUGAAUACCUUUCUUUAUAUCUCCUGUCAUAGUGUUCCACAGAAUUUGAAUAUUAGUAUCCAAUAGCUACUGAUGCCUGUGAACUGAACCCCACAAGAGGCUGAGUGCUUCCUGCAAGACCAGCAAAACAUCAAGUCAGCAUGGGCUCUCAGAAAGCAUGAGAAUAGGCUCAGUGGAACAAGAAAGACCAGGAAGGUUUCUCCACAACAAAGUAACGUGGGACUGAGUGUUUUGUUACAAAGGUCACACUACAGAAGACUCUGGGUGCUUGCCAAUGCUGCCACAACCCUGCCAUGAAUCUUUUUUAACUUUUAACUUCAGAGCUCACUUUUUCUGUGAAUAGA
rnacentral:lncRNA from 10 species